AUGGUUAAAGUAAACUCUUUUUGGAAUUGUCAUGUAUUUCUUGGACUGCUACUAUGUAUGGCAAGUAUAUAUAAUCCACCUUCUACUUUUUUUUUUUUUUUUUUUUUUUUGGUCUUUUUAGGGUGGUCCCCAUGGCAAGCACAUCUCUCCUUCUUGUCAUGGAGCCAGGCUUUCUUAACCAUAGUACAAACUGUCAGACCUUCCAAAAGAAGUAGGGAACAGAGGAGGAGGAAGUCUGAAGUAAACAAGUACCAGGAACUGUGCUUAAAGUAUAAAAAACCCAUUCUUAAGUGGAAUGAUAAAACUGUCACUGAGUUGUGCUUCUUGUCCCUAAUAACCCUCCAACUGUUAACUGUGAGAACCUACGGGGGCACACUCCCCCACUUUGGGAUACAUGUCCAUCUGUUCAAUUCAAAGAAGCAGUUCUCACUUGACAAAAGGGUUGUAAUUCAGUAGACUCUGCUAAAUUUCUUGAAGAGAUUUCCAGAGUCAGUGACUUUCCCAAGUACUUUCAAGGCAAACUUGUCCAUACCUUGAGAAAAUCCUUUUUAGACUAAAUAUCCACGGACUAAUGUCAGUAGACAUUGACAUAGAUAGAAAUACAAGUUUGCCAGAAGAGUCAGAAAAGAGAGAAACAAGGCAUAGACAGUCUUUUAAAACCUUCCAGCAUCAACAAUGCCUACCCAAAUAAACUCAACAUUUAUUUGCCUAUGGUGGGGGAAACAUUAGAAAGAACUAUUUCAGAUUUGAAACAUUGAUUACAUUAGGGCAAUGGAUGGAUGCAAUGAUUGUUUUUCAUUUUAACUUUCUGGAUUUUUUUCCAAGUUUUCUCUCAUUAAGUACAUAUUACUUGUAUAACAAAGGGGAAAAAACUUUAAAAUGCUUAAUGUUCUCUGCCCUUGCAGAAAUUAAAACCUAGCAAGGACAGUAUUAUGACUAGGAAUAUGACAAUGUAAGGAAUACUACUUUCAGAGUACAAAGUUUUGGGGAGACCCAAAAGAGAGAAAAGACCAAUUCUGUCCAAAAAGGAAGAAGAGCCACAAUGUUGAAAGAACUUCACAGAAGAAGCAGCUUCUGAAACAGGACUUGAAGGAUGAGUAAUAUGUGUAUCUGAUCAAGAAAGUCUAGAGCAUGCUAGGGGAAGGGCAGUUAAUCCAGGAUCAGAGCCCUUAUUUGAUGUGGGCACCCAAUUGUCACACCACCUGUCACCCUAUCUCAACACAAAGUUCAAUCUUGACUAACUUUUAAUUUUUCAGUAUGCAUUUGGAUUAAUUUCUUAUUUUAAUAUGUUUAAUUUUUUGAAAUUUUUGCAUCCAUAUUCAUCAAAGAUUGGUCUAUAAUUUUCUUUUAUUGUAGUAUCUUUGUCUGGUUUUGGUAUUAGGGUGAUGGUGGCUUCAUAGAAUGUCUUCGGGAGUGUUCCUUCUUAUUCACCCUUUUGAAAAAGUUUAAGGAGAAUGGGUAUAUGUUCUUCUUUCUAUGUUUGGUAGAAUUCACCUGUGAAGCCAUCUGGUCCCAUACUUGUGUUUGUAGGGAGUGUUUUAUUACAUAUUAAAUUUAAUUUCUAGUGAUCAGUCUGUUCAAUUGAUCUAUUUCUUCUUGAUUCUGGUGGGCUGUAUGUCUCUAGAAAGUUGUCCAUUUCUUCUAGGUUGUCAAAUCUGUUGGCAUAUAAUUGUUCAUAAUAUUCUCUUAUGGUUUUUGGUAUUUCUACAGUGUCCAUUGAGAUUUCUCCUUUUUCAUUUCUUAUUUUGUUUGAGUUCUUUCUCUCCUCUUCUCAGUGAGUCUGGCCAGAGGUUUGUCAAUUUUGUUUACCCUUUCAAAGGACCAGCUCUUGGUUUUAUUGAUUUUUUUCUAUUGUUUUUUGAAUCUCUUUUUUAUUGAUUUCCUCUCUGAUCUUGAUUUCCUUCCUUCUGCUGGCCUUGGGUUUUGUUUGUUCUUUUUUUUCUAAUUCUUUUAGGUGAUAGGUUAAGUUGUUGAUUUGAGAUUUUUCUUCUUUCUUGAAGAAGGCCUGUAUUCCUAUGAAUUUCUCUCUAAGCACUGCUUUUGUGGCAUCCCAUGGAUUUUGAAUGAUUGUGUCUUCAUUAUUAUUUAUUUCAAGAUAUUUUUUUAAUUUCCUUUUUGAUUUCCUCAUUGACCCAUUAGUUUUUUUAAUAGCAUGUUGUUUAGUCUCCAUGUAGUUAGUGUUUUCUCAUUUCUUUUCCUGUGGUUGAUUUCUAGUCAUGCCAUCAUGGUAAGAGAAGAUACUUGAAAUAAUUUCUAUACUCGUAAAUUUGUUGAGGUUAGUUUUGUGCCCCAGUAUGUGGUCAAUGCUAGAGAAUGUUCCAUGUGCACUUGAGAAGAAUGUAUAUUCUGAUUUUUUUGGAUGUAAUGUCCUGAAAAUGUCAACUAAGUCUAACUUUUCUGUGUCAUUUAGGAUCUCUGUUGCCUUAUUGAUUUUCUUUUUUUUUAUAAUUUUUUUAUUUUCCCACUGUACAGCAAGGGGGUCAGGUUAUCCUUACAUGUAUACAUUACAAUUACAUUUUUUCCCCCACCCUUUGUUCUGUUGCAACAUGGGUAUCUAGACAAAGUUCUCAAUGCUAUUCAGCAGAAUCUCCUUGUAAAUCUA
ensembl:lncRNA